CUAAUAGUAGCUUAAAGUUAAAGCAUAGGAUUCUUAAUCUUAGUAUGUUAUAGUUGUGAACCUAUUAGC
rnacentral:tRNA from 1 species